GAUACAAUAAGUACCUUUUUGAUUGUAUGAAUGAGCAAUAUGCUUUGUGAUUUGACAUGUUCCAUUUCACAAAAUGGAUAAAUAUUUUGUUUCAGAUACUUUGAUAAGUACUAAAGUACAAAACAUUAUGGUUUGAAGAUUUAACAGUGGAAUUUCUUGCAACUGCCAGGAGGGAAAUGAGAUCAAAGGAUUUUGAAGAAAAAGAUGUGCAGGGAAUGUGCCUGAUGCUACCAAUAAUAAAGGUAAGUCAGACGUGUUUAUAUGACCAUUUAAUAGAAAACAAUCGUCUCAAGACCCAGAUUUUUUUUUCUUUUUUGGCUUUCUUCUCCUUUAUUUAGACCCAGGUCUAGAGUAGAUGCUCAGAGAAAUCUCCACAUAGAAGUUUUUUUUCUAUUAUGAAAGAGAGAUGACAAUAUUCACUUUUUAAAUAACAUAUUAGUAAAUAAAUUUAUUUAUAAAAUUUUAAUGUUCUAAGAA
rnacentral:lncRNA from 13 species